UAGGCUGAGCCCGCAGCUGGUUCGGCCGCAGGCGAUGCAGCCGAGCUAACAGGGAACCCGGUGCGAAUCCGGGACUGCCCCGCAGCGGUGAGUGGGAACGACCGCCGUCAACGGCACUGGGCGACAGCCUGGGAAGCGACGGCCAGUAGGCAACGGUGACCGGCCGCUCCGGCGCCGCCGCCCACAAGUCCGAAGACCUGCCAGCUGCACACCGCCGAU
rnacentral:ncRNA from 2 species